AACGAACGCUGGCGGCAGGCCUAACACAUGCAAGUCGAACGAGACCUUCGGGACUAGUGGCUCACGGGUGCGUAACGCGUCGGAACCUGCCCUUAUGCUCGGAAUUACACUUCUAAAGGGGUGCUAAUACCGGAUAAUGUCUGCGGAUAACAGAUAUAACGCCUUUGGAUGAGCCCGCGUUGUAUUAGCUAGUCGCUAGUGUAAAAGCCUACCACGGCGACGAUCCAUAGCUGGUCAGAGAGCAUGAUAAGCCACGCUGAGACUAAGACACGGCCCAGACUCCUACGGGAGGCAGCAGUGGGGAAUAUUGGACUAUGGGCGAAAGCCUGAUCCAGCUAUGCUGCGUGAGUGAUGAAGGCCUUAGGGUUGUAAAGCUCUUUUACCCGGGAUGAUAAUGACAGUACCGGGAGAAUAAGCUCCGGCUAACUCCGUG
rnacentral:rRNA from 1 species